rnacentral:rRNA from 1 species
CCUACGUGAGGCAGCAUUUAUUAAUCUUUCUCCCUUUUCUUCCUCCUGCCCCCGCCCCGUCGCGUGCCGGAUGACGGCCCUACGGGUUGUAAACUGCUUUUAUACGGGAAUAACGCGCCUUACGUGUAGGGCUUUGCAUGUACCGUAUGAAUAAGGACCGGCUAAUUCCGUGCCAGCAGCCGCGGUAAUACGGAGGGUCCGGGCGUUAUCCGGAUUUAUUGGGUUUAAAGGGAGCGUAGGCCGCAUGUCAAGCGUGCUGUGAAAUGUCCGGGCUCAACCCGGGCCUUGCAGCGCGAACUGGCGUGCUUGAGUCCGCGGAAAGCAGGCGGAAUUCGUCGUGUAGCGGUGAAAUGCUUAGAUAUGACGAAGAACCCCGAUUGCGAAGGCAGCUUGCUGCAGCGGAACUGACGCUGAUGCUCGAAAGCGCGGGUAUCGAACAGGAUUAGAUACCCUAGUAGUC